AGAGUGAACGCUGGCGGUAGGCCUAACACAUGCAAGUCGAACGGCAGCACGGUAAGAGCUUGCUCUUAUGGGUGGCGAGUGGCGGACGGGUGAGGAAUACAUCGGAAUCUACCUUUUGGUGGGGGAUAACGUAGGGAAACUUACGCUAAUACCGCAUACGCCCUUCGGGGGAAAGCCGGGGACCAGCAAUGGCCUGGUGCUGAUAGAUGAGCCGAUGUCGGAUUAGCUAGUUGGUGAGGUAAUGGCUCACCAAGGCGACGAUCCGUAGCUGGUCUGAGAGGAUGAUCAGCCACACUGGAACUGAGACACGGUCCAGACUCCUGCGGGAGGCAGCAGUGGGGAAUAUUGGACAAUGGGCGAAAGCCUGAUCCAGCCAUGCCGCGUGUGUGAAGAAGGUCUUCGGAUUGUAAAGCACUUUAAGUUGGAGGAAGGCAGUUACCUAAUACGUAUCUGUUUGACGUUACGACAGAAUAAGCACCGGCUAAC
rnacentral:rRNA from 1 species